rnacentral:rRNA from 1 species
ACGAACGCUGGCGGCGUGCUUAACCCCUGCAAGUCGCACGGAAAGGCCCUGCUUUUGUGGGGUGCUCGAGUGGCGAACGGGUGAGUAACACGUGAGUAACCUGCCCUUGACUUUGGGAUAACUUCAGGAAACUGGGGCUAAUACCGGAUAGGAGCUCCUGCUGCAUGGUGGGGGUUGGAAAGUUUCGGCGGUUGGGGAUGGACUCGCGGCUUAUCAGCUUGUUGGUGGGGUAGUGGCUUACCAAGGCUUUGACGGGUAGCCGGCCUGAGAGGGUGACCGGCGACAUUGGGACUGAGAUACGGCCCAGACUCCUACGUGAGGCAGCAGUGGGGAAUAUUGCACAAUGGGCGGAAGCCUGAUGCAGCAACGCCGCGUGCGGGAUGACGGCCUUCGGGUUGUAAACCGCUUUCGCCUGUGACGAAGCGUGAGUGACGGUAAUGGGUAAAGAAGCACCGGCUAACUACGUG